AACAAGAUCUGACCCCCUCUUCUGGAGUGUCUGAAGACAGCUACAAUGUACUUACAUAUAAUAAAUAAACAGCUACAAUGUACUUACAUAUAAUAAAUAAAUAAAUAACUCUGAAGACAGCUACAAUGUACUUACAUAUAAUAAAUAAACAGCUACAAUGUACUUACAUAUAAUAAAUAAAUAAAUAAAUAAAUAAAAAAAAGAACCAAAUUCACAAGAGCAGUACGUACUUCUAACCACUGAACCACCUCUCCAUCCUCUUAAAAAAAAAAAAAAAAAAAAAAGACCACAUUUCAAGGGUUCAAUGGCCACACGUGGCCAAUGGCCACCAUGUUUGUCUGUGUAGAAGAAGAAACCAAGUGUUCCCGCCCUUGUUCAUGGCGCUACUCUGCCAUUAUAGCAGUAUUGUUAGGGCUUAUGGGGGGUGGGGGGGUUAAUUGUAAACUGAUUUUUGAAAAGGUGAUAAGUACAAGCCAAAAAUACGCCUCCCAUUUCCUGUACCUCCAUCCACUGAGCUACUUGUGGGAACUAUACACUGUUAUAUACGUGGCUUUUCCCCCUAUUUAAUGCAUUUUGGAUCCUGCUCAUAUAUAUUCAAUAGUAAUAUACUGUACUACGGGGAGGUACCAUAACUUAGUCGCUGAUGGACUUUUGGGUGAUUUCCAGUCUUUCCAACUGGGAUACGCAGGAAGGUUCUGCAGGCUGCGCUGUAAUGAAAUCCUUGCGCAUACAUGUAAAUCCUCAGAGUGCGUUAAUAGCAGGGAACUCUUGGGUCAAAAGCUACAUAUACAUUGUAAUAUAGAUCACUAAAUUGCCCCCUAAAGAGGUUGCGACAAGAAGACCUGAUCCCCACACCAUCAAACACUCUUGUGCUGUGAAUGCAAAUGUCCACAGUGACACUAGUUCUCCAAGGGAGGGGCUUCCCAUUGCCUCUGACAACCUGCCCUCUUAGACUAUCUCCCAGUCACGUCUUCCCACUGCCAAGGAUAGUGAACAUUCUUUAGGUUUUACUCAUUGUGUGUGUGUGUGUGUGAGAGAGAGUGAGUGUGUGUGAUGUGUAAGUGAGCACAGGAAGAUGUUUGGCAUUUAGGUCAGUUGGAGUCUCCUAGCUCUAGGCAGAGCUGGGAUUUAACCACAAGUCGGCCUCUCUUCAAAGCCUACCCCUAGUACCAACAGGCUCACCUGCUCCCCAGCCCCUUCUCACUAUGUGAGCUUCGGGCUUCCCCAUUCUCCUGCUAGGGUCCAGUUCUCUCUCGGGUCCAUUUGCCCUUCAUUCUUGUUCUCUCUCCUCCCUAGAGCCAGAGCAGACGUCUCCAUUCGGGACUCCUUACUCUUCAGUACCAGUUCCCUCUACUCUUGAUCUUGAGACUGCCCUACCUGAACCCCGGAUCUGCCCAGCCCUCCCCUAGGUUCUUCCAGAUGCUUCCAGCCCUCAGCAGAUUGCCAUCAGCAGUCCACACCCGGCUGGUUUGCACCUCCCUCUGCUGGACUUUGAGCUGCGCGCCAAAAGAAAGAUGCACCUGAUGGAGGUGCUUUCUUUAACCGACAUACAGUUGAAGGAAAGACGGUCUCCUGAUGGAUGUCUGCAAUGAUUAAGAGGGAAUGCUUCUGGUACCCUUUCCCUCGGAUGCCCGUGAAGGGCUCGGGCAUCACCAGCCACUGUCCCAGCCCGGGCUCUAAGUCUGACCCAAGCCGAAGUGCCUGCGCCCCGCUAUGCGCUCCAUCACCACUAGAGGGAGUAAAGAGCGGGCUCUUCCCUGUGCUCUGUCCUCCAUAGCCUUGCCUAGGAAAGAAAGAUCCCUCCAAGUCAAAGUGAGAGGAGGUCUAACUGGGAAGAUGAUCAAUGGUGCGGUGGGUAGGGAACAAGUGAGGUAAUGGGAGGGUGGAUAUGAUGAUAUGAUAUGAUAUGAUAUGAUAUGAUAUGAUAUGAUAUGAUAUGAUAUGAUAUGAUAUAUGAAUCUUAUAAUAAAAGUCAUUAUUUUGUAUAAUUAAUAUA
rnacentral:lncRNA from 1 species